rnacentral:misc_RNA from 1 species
GACACUGUGUGUGGUUUGUUUUUAGGCACAACUUGAGACCUGCUUGUUUUGUGAGUGUGGGGUUGUGUGUGGUGUGGAAAUUAUUGAGACGUUGUGGUAUGGGCAUGCUUUUGGGUUUCCAAAUUGCGACAGCUUUUUGGAAGCAAGCCCGCUAUUACGAUUGUGGCACUGUUUGGUGUUGUGGUUGUGUGGUGUGGUGUGGUGGUUUGAGAACUGGAUAGUGGACGCGAGCAAUGAUCUUUGUUGAUUGUUGUUGUAAUUGAACUGAACUUCUAAAUUUUUUUUAAUUGUUUUGUUUUU